GGGGCCAUCAAAUGGCUGUGAAAUGUUGCUUUUAGGCCUUCAGUCCUUCAUAUCACAGCCACCUUUGAUGAGCUUCA
rnacentral:pre_miRNA from 1 species